UACGAAGGGGGCUAGCGUUGUUCGGAAUUACUGGGCGUAAAGCGCGCGCAGGCGGCCUUUCAAGUCGGUGGUGAAAUCCCAGAGCUCAACUCUGGAAUUGCCAUCGAAACUGUAAGGCUUGGGUACGGGAGAGGUGAGUGGAAUUCCGAGUGUAGAGGUGAAAUUCGUAGAUAUCAGGAGGAACACCGGUGGCGAAGGCGGAUCUCUGGGCCAUUACUGACGCUGAGGAGCGAAAGCGUGGGGAGCGAACAGG
rnacentral:rRNA from 1 species